UAAAAUGUAUAUAGUCCAAUUCAUUAUUUAAAGCCUAAAUAAGAGUAUAAAUUGUUUUUAUAUUCGAAUUCAAAUCAAGAACUACUAAUUAUGAGUAUAAUAUUUAAAAUUGCAAAUUCAAAUAAUGAACUCCUAAAUAUUAGUACAAACUAUUUUAUAUGGCGUCCCUAUGGUUUAGCCCCCUAAUGUCAGGAAUGAGAGCUGCCCACUACCUCAAUAUGAAUUAUGAAAUUUGAACAAAAAUAAAGCCAAACCAUACUGCCUGGUGUGAGAAAAAGAGCAAUUUCACAGUGACAAAGAGCAACGCAAUUAGCAGGAUUUCUCAAAGAGACUUUGCAUCUAAAAAUGCACUGGAAUUACACAACCAAGACAGGAUGGACACAUCUGACCAACAAAAUUUUCCCGCUAAUUUGACAAUCUAAGGAUCAGUCAAAAACAUCGAGCACAUUUUGAGCAUAUGAUAUAGUUUAUACCAUAUGACUCAGAGGUCUGCCAGUUCUUGGGGGUGCAUCUAUAUUUGCGGAGUUGACAUGUNGUACACUCUUCUCUCUCUCUCUCUUCUCUCCCCUCUCCCUCUUCGGCUCUCCCUCUCUCUCUCGUCCUUGCCGCCGCUCCACAGUCGCCGGCCACCGCUGCACAGCGAACCACCACCAGCGCGACGCACAGCGGCAACAGAUCCUCUCUUCUCUCUCUCUCUUCUCUCCCUCUCCCUCUCCCUCUCCGGCUCUCCCUCUCUUCUCUCUCUGUGCUGCAGUUUCGAUCUCUCUCUCUAGGGUUUUGUUUGGUCCUCUUCCUUUAUAAGAGAUCGUUUCUUCUUCACCGAAGAAUUUUCCAGCGUCUGAGGAGGAUUGAAGAAUUUCGAUCUAAUGUGAUCAACGUUGUAGUGAUUUUGUCGAGAUUGAAGAAUUUCGAUCUAUUUUUCCUUCACAAUUUAUGUCGAGAGUUUUGUUUUAGCUUUGAUGAAUGAGAAAUAGAUGUGAGGGAUAGGCUGAGGAAGGAGGUGUUGGUGUCGCUGCGGAGGGCGCUUCAGCUGCCGGAGGUGUAUCUUGAGAAAGUGAAGUCGGGCAAAGCCAAGAUCGCCGCCGGCGCAUUGCUUCCUCAUAGAUAAUCGCGUCCUUGGAUGACGAAGAUGACGCGGCCAAGUGCGAGCUUCAAUGGAAGAGAAUGGUGGAGGACAUGGCCAAGGUUGGGAAAUUGAGCAAUUGCCUUGCAAUCUGUGACGUUUCUGGGAGUAUGGAUGGAAUCCCUAUGGAGGUUUCGGUGGCGCUAGGAGUUCUGGUGUCGAGCUAAGCGAGAGCCAUGGAAGGGGAAGCUCAUCACCUUCAGCGAAAAUCCUCAGCUCCAGAUAGUGAGAGGGGAAAGCUUGAAAGAGAAACUGAGUUUGUGAGAAGAAUGAGUGGGGGAUGAACACUGAUUUCCAAAAGGUGUUCGAUGUGAUACUGAAAGUGCGGAAAGGGGAAGCUGAAGGCGAGGAGAUGAUAAAGAGGCUUUUGUGUUCAGUGAUAUGUAAUUCGAUGAGGCUUCGAUGAAUCCGUGGGAGACGGAUUAUGGGGCGAUCGUGAGGAAGUACAAGAGAAGGGAUACGGAAUGUUUGCCGGAGAUUGUGUUUUGGAAUUUGAGGGAUUCGAGGGGACGCCGGUGCCGGCAAACCAGCCGGGUGGCGCUUGUGAGCGGCGCACUUCUCCAAAAUCUGAUGAAGAUAUUUCUUGAAAAGGUGGAGUGAUGGAUCAGGUGGCGUGAUGGAAGCUGGAUUGCUGGUAAAAAAUAUCAGCAGCUGUUGUGCUGGAUUGAUAUAGUUAGAUAGCAUGAGUUUGGAUCUUUGUUAGCAGUGUAAAAUUUUUGAUUAAUCAAUGUGGAUGAACUUGGUUUGUGACUCUUUGAUUUUGAAGGAUUUAAUCAAUGAUUAUGAAAAAAUGAGAAAUAGAUGUGAAAAAACAGAGGAAUUUUUUUUCACUAAUGCAUAGUUGAUUUAGAUAACAAUUAAUUUUCUGUUGAGCUAUAUUUUUUAGGAAUUUGUAAAACGAUAAUAUGUUUAAUGUUCUUAAAUUCACAACUAGAUUUAUGAAUUAACAAUUAGAUCUAUGAAUUCACGACCACAUUUAUGAAUUCACAACUAGAUUUAAGAAUUCACAAUCAGGUCGAUGAAUUCACAACUUAAUGUUCUUGAAUUCACAACUAGCUCGAUCAAUUCACAACUUAAUAUUCUUGAAUUUACAACAAAAUCUAUAAAUUCACAAUCAAAAUAAAUUACAAUUUUAAUUGUGAAUUCAAACUUUAAAAACUCAAAUUCACAACUACUUGAAUUUACAACCAAAAUAAAUUCUAGUUGUGAAUUAAAUUCUGAUUGUGAAUUUUACUGGUUGUGAAUUCCCAACCAAAAAUCUGGUUGUGAAUUAAAUUUUGGUUGUGAAUUCACAACCAAAAAAUUCUGGUUGUAAAUUAAAUUUUGGUUGUGAAUUCGACUGGUUGUGAAUUAAAUUUUAACUGUGAAUUCGACUAGUUGUGAAUUCACAAACAAAAUUCACAAUUCACAACCAGUGUGAAUUCACACACUGGUUGUGAAUUGCGGGAUUUUUUAAAGGGGUAAUAUAAAGUGGACUAUUUUUUUAUUUUUAAUGUGAAAGGAUAUUUUGGUAACAGUGGCCAUUUUUUAAUGUUUUUAUCUUAGUGGACAAUUUUUAAUUUUACAAUAUGAAAGUGGCCAUUUUAAAAAUCCACUCUUCUUUUACACCCUAUAUAAUAGAUACAUAUUUUAGGGCCCAAAUUUUCUUAAUUGACGGGCUUGUAAAAUGUAUAUAGUCCAAUUCAUUAUUUAAAGCCUAAAUAAGAGUAUAAAUUAUUUUUAUAUUCGAAUUCAAAUCAAGAACUACUAAUUAUGAGUAUAAUAUUUAAAAUUGCAAAUUCAAAUAAUGAACUCCUAAAUAUUAGUACAAACUAUUUUAUAUGGCGUCCCCAUGGUUUAGCCCCCUAAUGUCAGGGAGGAGAGUUGCCCACUACCUCAACGUGGCUUUUUGGCACCAAUUCCCCCCUUAUCGAUAAGGGUCCCCCUCACGUUUAGCCCCCUAAAGUCAGGGAGGAGAGCUGCCUCCAUCGAAAGGCUGGGUGGGUGGGUGGGUGCGUGGGCGGGUGGGUGGAGGGGGGGGAAUUGGUGUCAAACAGCCACGUUAAGGUAGUGGGCAACUCUCCUCCUUGACAUUAGGGGGCUAAACCAUAGGGACGCCAUCAAUAGGGGACAAUCUGAUACUUAACCCUUUAUUAAAUUAAAAUACAAAAAAAUUGUGUUUAUAAUUAUCUAACACUAUGAAUCGAGGGUGACUAAACAUUUGGUCAAACCAAUAUGAAUUAUGAAAUUUGAACAAAAAUAAAGCCAAACCAUACUGCCUGGUGUGAGAAAAAGAGCAAUUUCACAGUGACAAAGAGCAACGCAAUUAGCAGGAUUUCUCAAAGAGAUUUUGCAUCAAAAAUACACUGGAAUUACACAACCAAGACAGGAUGGACACAUCUGACCAACAAAAUUUUCCCGCUAAUUUGACAAUCUAAGGAAUCAGUCAAAAACAAUCGAGCACAUUUUGAGCAUAUGAUAUAGUUUAUACCAUAUGACUCAGAGGUCUGCCAGUUCUUGNGGUGCAUCUAUAUUUGCGGAGUUGACAUGUAAAACAUCGUCUAACUAUUCAUAUCCACUCCGAGUAAAAGCAAAGCAGCCAAACAACUCAAGAGAGAGAGUCCCAAUAAAAGCAUACCUGCUGAAACUUCUCAUGAUAUCAUUCAUCUAUCAACGAAUGCAACUGUUUCCUGAAACUUGAUAUCUUACUAGCUUCAACAGCCAUCACUAAACCCAUCGGCCGAUAAUUUUUUAGCUGCAUCUUCGUGAAAAUUCAAAUCAGCAAGAAACAAUUUCUUAUGUAAGAAGAUCAAUGCAUUUGCUUAAGAGAUGAAUCACAAUAAUAAUAAUGCACAUGAAAGCAUCAUCGAUGCAUCAGGAAAACAUCAUGUAAAGAAACCUGAAGUAAAUGGAAAAGCCAUGCUCACCUUAGAUUACUAGAAAGAUUUUAAAAUGAUCAAAUGGAAUGUGUAUUUUUUUAAUUUAUAGCAGUCUCUAUUGUGUCCCUUUCUAGCACCAAGGUACUUCAAAUAUAAGAAAAUGUGAGGAUACAUCACAUUUGCACAAUACAGAACCAAAUAAAUGCACAAAACGAUGUAUAACAAGUAAUGUAGUUUCAAAACUGGGAAUACAUGAACAAGAGAAGGGUCCGAAGGAGUGGUCUUUUUUAUCUUAAUAUGAUGGGUAAUCAGUGAUUAUUAGUGAACAGCUGACCUCCUAACUAUACGAGGCUGUCUUAUAUUUUAGAGAUAUCAUCUUAA
rnacentral:lncRNA from 1 species